rnacentral:lncRNA from 1 species
GCCAUAUUUUUCAGAGGAAUAGACGUUUAAUGGCCCAUAUCAACGGCAUCCAGAAGACCCUUGAAUGCUCCGAUUCUGCAUAUCUGAGCAAACUCAAGGUCUUUCUUCGCUAGGGACUCGAGGAUACUCUUUGACCCUUGAAUGCCCCAAUUCUGCAUAUCUGAGCAAACUCAAGGUCUUUCUUUGCUAGGGACUCGAGGAUACUCUUUUAUAGGAAGAACUCUAUUGGAUGCAUAAGUUGAUAUGCGAGUUCAUAUCCUUGGGUGAUAAGAACAUGACUUACUUUCACAUGCACAUGAUGGCUAGGCAUAGGCAAAGUAGGAU